rnacentral:rRNA from 1 species
AGAACGAACGCUGGCGGCAGGCCUAAUACAUGCAAGUCGAACGCACUCUUCGGAGUGAGUGGCAGACGGGUGAGUAACGCGUGGGAACCUUCCCAAUGGUACGGAAUAACUCCGGGAAACCGGUGCUAAUACCGUAUAAGCCCCUCGGGGGAAAGAUUUAUCGCCAUUGGAUGGGCCCGCGUCGGAUUAGCUAGUUGGUAAGGUAAUGGCUUACCAAGGCUACGAUCCGUAGCUGGUCUGAGAGGAUGAUCAGCCACACUGGGACUGAGACACGGCCCAGACUCCUACGGGAGGCAGCAGUAGGGAAUCUUGGACAAUGGGCGAAAGCCUGAUCCAGCCAUGCCGCGUGAGUGAAGAAGGCCUUAGGGUUGUAAAGCUCUUUUGGCGGGGACGAUAAUGACGGUACCCGCAGAAUAAGCCCCGGCUAACUUCGUGCCACAGCCGC